UUGUUUGAGCAUGCGUCCGCAGGUGAUUUUUCUGCUGACAGGCGAUGUGAUGAGCCGUGUGCUGAGCGUGUGCUGAUUCUUUUCUUCUGAUGGUGACAGAUCAGAAUUUUUGCAAUAUCUGGAAAUGUGGCUAUAGCAUUUCACGAAAGCGCAUGUAUGAGAGUUUGCUUUCUGGCAAAUUCCGUGGUUUUACAUGGAGCAUUUCUUGGGAAAACGCGGGAGUUAUGCAUAUUAUACAUGUAUUAUGUAUUUUGUGAUUGGGGAAAUCUGCUUGUGAUUAUUCUUUUUUUUUUUAUUAUUUUUCUUCCUUUUCCUAUGAGAGAUAUGAUUUGGGGAUUGAGUUUAAAUAACAUUUCUUUUUUGGACGGGAGAUUUGAUUUUACCGGGAGGUGUAAUUUUUCGAGGGUUGCUAUUUACGUAAAAGGGAGUUUGACAUUAAGUCUCAUUGUGAUUAAUUAUUGAGCAGUAAAGGGGUUUUUGCUGUUAAAAGUUGGAGAUUUUUACUGAUUUUGUGGGUUGUCAGAACUAGAGAACAUUUUUGGGUCUGGGUGUUACGUGAUUCUUUUCUUUUUUUCUUUCUUUUUUUUUUCUUGUGAGCACAUUCGAGUUCGAAAUGUGAGUGCAGAAUUCCGUGGAGUUGCUGUGAUUUCUGAGUUGUGUGUGUGCUGAUGUGCGAGUUUGGAGAAUUGAAUUGGAGAACUUGAUGUUUCUUUUUCUUAGAGAGUUGUGAUAAUGACUUAUCAUUUUAGUAGUCAUAUUUAAGGGAGUUAAUUGGGAGACGUUCAGUUAGUAUUUCUGACCUUUUUGAGAUCGUUGUUUGAUAGAAGUAGUAUGUUUGGGUUAAUUUUCUUAGAUUGACCAAAGACCUGACUGACAUACUAACGCCCAAAAGUUCCCGACGCCAGCAAGACGUCCACCAGCCGUGAAGAGAGGUUGCUGCCAUGUUGUCCAUCGUGAUUACAAGUAUUUCCAUGAUGGGUGAUCGAGAGAAUUCUACAGCGUGUUUUUUGGGGAUCUACAAGAAGCCGUGAGAGUCUUCUACGAUGAGGGAGGCAUUCCGUCUUCCUACAGUUGCUACAGCCUGCUAUAGCCUGUUGCUGUCUGUGCAGCUACUUGCAGACAAGCGAAGAGGGAUAUUCAAGAAUCCUUAUGCAGAAAAUAUGAGAGAAAAUGCGUCUUGUGUUAUUGGGAGAUUAAAGCGUGAUAAGACUUUAUUUUAUAAUGCCAGAGACGUGCGGUUUUUCUUAUUUUAUUUUAAGCCGGCCAAUGUUUUAUAUCGUAUAAGCAAUUUUGCUAGGCGGGAGCUAGCAUAUAGGUGCGAGGCCGAGCAAUCUGUAAGACAUAGGGUUUUGAUUAAUGAUAUAUUGUUCGUGCAUUCUCUGUAACCUGUGGAAUGUGGAGGACAGGGCAGAGUAACGACCUGAGGGUAGCUGAUGAAUGAGUUUCUAGGGGAUGGCGUGAGAUAAAAAUGCUUAGUUCGUCGAGUCAAUGUACGACAGUUUAUGAACUCUUCCCAAAGUGCCUUUGUGAAACUAGAUGCAGCUAGAACCGUGAGGCGCUAGCGAACUGUGUGUUCGUAUGUGCGUGUGCGCCUCUUUCUGUUAAAAGCGUUCAUACCCAAACCUAUGGGAGGGAUUUUGACAGAGGGCUUCGAGUCAUAGGCAAAGAUGCCGUGGCAUUCGCCGGGGGAGUUUUUUGACAUAGUGUUUAGUGUCCGGUUGGGAAUGGAUGGUUCUGGAUUUCUGUGGGACAGAGUUCCCAGGGAAAGGUGUGACCUUUUGGGUGACUUGACAAUGAGUAGUUUUAAGUUAGUCUGUGAGACUGGAUUACUUAGUUAUCGACUUAGUUAUUGUAAAUAAACGUUAUGUUAUGA